rnacentral:lncRNA from 10 species
GGCGGGCACCUGUAAUCCCAGCUAUGUGGGAGGCCGAGGCAGGAGAAUCACUUGAACCUGGGAGGCAGAGGUUGCAGCCUGGGCAACAAGAGCGAAACUCUGUCUCAAAAAAGAAAGAAAGAAAGAAGUCUUUAGGGCAAGACACAGGCCUUAGCUGCUUCUUCUGGAAAAAUGUUUCUUACAGUUUAUAUGAAUUCAUCAACACAUCUAUGCACAGGACAUACUGUGUACCAGGCAAGUGCUGUUGGGCACUGGGGACACAAUGCCACGUCUAGACAGCAUCACACGUGGAGGGUUCUGGAUAAAUGAGGUAUCGGGUCACUUGAGGAUGGAGAGGGAGGUUUUAUAGAAAAAAUUCACAGACAAGAAGUCUGGAGGACCAAUUUAAAUCAUUACAUGACCUCAGACAAGUCACCUUCCUUCUCUCAGCCUCCAUCUUCCCUUCUAUAAAGUGGGUCUGAUAAAAAUCAUGAAAACUAUUACAUGGCACCAGACACUGACCCAGCAGUUACAGAUGUUCUCUUAAGGCACACAGCCAGCAAGGCAGGUGUUGCUAACAAUUUGUUGUGGAGUAAAUUGUCCCUUUCACAGAUGAGCAAACUGAGACUUGGCUGGUUACCAACUUGCCUGAGGUCAGAGAGCCGGUGGGAGUCAGGGUGUAAGCUCCGGUGUGUCUGAUUCCAGAGCCCACACUCUCCUGCCCUCCCAAACAAGUCCCACACUUCCUCCUCACAGACUGCUGUGAGGAUGCAAUGACAUCACAGAUAUCAGAGCGCUUCGUAAAGUUAAACUGUCAUGUGUCCAAAGUCAACAAAAAGUCAGUCUUGACUCUCCGUGAAACUAAACACUGAAGUUUACAGGGGCACUCAGAACUAGUCACAGCCUAGAACUCCUGGGUUCCUCGCUCUCAACCUCUGGCAUUCCUCGGCUAACUUCCUCCCAGGGAAAGGGACCCAGCAAUCCCAGGAGCCCCAGAUGACCCCUCAAGGCCCACAGAGCAGGGUUCCCCUGGCACCCAUAGGGCCUCCUCCUAGACCAGGAGACCACCUGGCUAGUAGCCUCCUGACUCUCCUGUGCUCCACUCCUGCUGAGGACCUAGAGGGCACGGCCUGGCCCAGGUGCCAUGGGAGCUGCCGCAGGGACCCUCACCACUUCCCACCGACAGGCUGUGGGACCUCAAGCCAGUCACCUCACCUGCCUGAGCCCGAGGUUUCUCACCUGCAAAAUGAGGGAUGAAAGCGGAUCUCAUGUGGGAAAGGAGCCACUCCAAGGAGAGACUCAAACAUGACUGCCCUUGAGCUGGGUGAGUUCAGCUGAGUGGGUAGGAAGGGGAGCACCAGGCUCUGUUUUGAGGAGGGAGGCAAAACCCUACCUACCAGGAAUCACCCAUCUAACCUUGAAUUCUCGGCCUGCCCUUGGCAGUCCUGGUCUGAGAGAUGGACUCAGCUGCUACCACUGCCAGCCACCAGCAGGACCCUAUCUGCUGUCUUCCCAGGUUGGCUAGGGUCCCAGAGGGGGAGAAGCAGGAGAAGGGUCUUCAGUCAGAACUACAUAUGUCUUCACUGGAGGGACCUGGGCCCUAGAGCACAGACAUCCUUGCAGGCCCACGGUGGCCCGAAAUGGUUGCUAACUGGCCUUGGGCCACACAGUGAGACGGAGGUGCCAGGACCCAGGCCUUUAGGCCCAGCCCAGGGCUCUCUGCACGGGCCCAAAGUCACCCCUUUUGGAGCAUGCAUUAAGCACAGAGAGGAAGAACAGUGUGAAGAGUUAGGAUGAUGCACCCCCUAUCCUGCCAUGGUCAAGAGGCUCUGGCCAUUGACAGUUGAACCCCCAAGCUCCAAGGUGAAAAUCAACACCUGGUCACCCAGUUCUCUGCUUCACUCACUGCAGGCACUGACAGGGCACAUCUGGACAGAGGAGGGGCUCAGUCUGCCUCUGCAGAGUCCCCAGCAAGAGGAAGAAGGCUCCAAUUGCAGCAGAGUGGACUUCAAUUAGUCUCAAGAAAGAACUUCCUGCAGAGGCAUUAAGCAUGAACAGCAUACAGAGAAGGGGGGCAUGAUGAGGGCAACUGUAGCAUCUCCUCUGAAAUACAGGAUGCUGUCUCAUUCAUUAUGUCAUUUUACUUUCAAACCAGCCUGGAAGGUAAUCCCAGGAAGUCCUUCCUACAAAUGCAUUUUAUAGGAGAAACAACUCGUGCUCAAAGAGAUAAAAUGAUUCUUCCAGGGUCAUCCUGCCAGUAAGUGACAAAGCCAGGAUCAACAUAAGUUUUCUGUCUUCUGUAUGGUAGACACGUUGGACAGUGAUACCUGGACUUGAGCAAGCCCUGAGAAUGACCUUGUAUGGCAGGCGCACCUCAAUGCAGUUUGGUUCUAAGCUAAGGAAUCUGGGAGUAGCCAACCCGGAGAUCCACUCCUUAUCUAUGAGGAACAUCUGAGCUCUUGGCCCAUCCUAUGGAACUUGCGGGCCAAACAGAGGAUUGAGGUCUGUGGUUUGGGGUAAAUGGAGGAGAUGAGGAAACUGAGGCUCCGAGAAGACACGCAGGGAGCAGCUGCAUGCUGGAACCCAGGUUAACUGGAUUACCAAGUCUUCCCACUCCCCUCAUCUCUCCAGGCAGGAAGGUCCUGGGGGGAGGAAGCAGCCUCGGAAGGAAUGAGCUCCUUGUCCUGGGGAUGUGCAAGUAUUGUCUUGGGACACUGUGGGAGGUAGGCUGCAGAGGGCAGCCAGGUGGCUCUCAAACUGAAAUCACCAGGGGAGCUUCAUCAACUACUGAUGCCUGGGUCAUGCCCCAGAGAUUGUGGGGCCUGCAGGACUUUUAAAAGUUUCCCAGAUGAUUCUAAUGUGAAACAAAGUUUGAAAGCCAUGGGCUUGGAUGCCCACUGCUGCCCUUCCCACCUCUGAAACUCUCCUGCCACACGCCUUUCUAAGGAAAGAAGGGAUUUAUUACCCUGACCCCAUUUUACAAAAUGGGCAGAAGCCAAGCAAAAUAUAAGGGUGUCCUCAAGGCCCCACAGCCAGCAACAAAUCGAGGCAGCAUGAGGGGUCCCCUGAUUUCAGACUGCCCCUGGGGUGAGCUUCUUUAAGACACUUGGGGGUUCCAGCUCCCUUGUCAGUGGGAGAGAAGUUUCUCUUUGAGCCUCCUGGGUGAGAGAGUGAGACAUUCUUCGUGGCAUUUUUUUUAAAGAGUCCACUCGUUCAAAAGCUAAACAGCUGCAGGAUUAACGCUGGAAGACCCCCUCUGCUUGCUGGUGUGCCUUGGGAGCAAGAAGAUAAAAGAACUCAAAGCAGGCCUGUUUAUCCUUUUCUGCAGGAGAUUUGGUCACAAGCCUGGGAAGAGCUGAGCCUGUCAGACCAGCAGCCCACACUUCCUCCCCACCUGCCUUUCCGCCUUCCUCAUGCCCUGAAAGCAGAAUGUCACAGAUGGAGAGAUGGUGUGGGUUGGUGGGAAGUGAGAGGCCUGUGGAGUCCACUGGUCCUGGGGUCUGCCCAAGCUCUCCUCCUUGCCAGCUACCUUUGGAGAGGAGCUACUCCUCUCUCAGCUCAUUCAGUGCUGAUCUCACAGAGGUCCAAAGUCAGCAACAUGGGCACCACCUCCAGGAAGGCUUCCCUGACUCCCCUCCCCACCCAGCGCCGGGCAACCCCAGGCCCCUGGCCUUCCCUGUCACAUUCUGUGUUGUCACUGCUUCUGUGUCCUCCCAACCCUACCAGGCUGUUCAUUCAUUCAUUCCACGGAGCAGCUGCCCUUUGCCUGGGAUUCAUUCCAAACGCCUUUCCUGAGCACCUGUUUUCUCUAAGAUCCUCUGUGAGGUGCUGGAGAUACAGAUCAUAACAGCUAACCUGCACUGAGUGCUCAUUAUGUGCUGGGCAUUUUUUUGAGUGCUUUACACGUAUAAUUCAUUUCACCCUCACAACUCUAUGAUGAAGAUGCUGUAAUUAUCCCCAUUUUACAUAUGGGGAAACUAAAGCCCAAAGAGGUUAAAUCACUUGCCCAAGUCAUUUAGCCCUACCCUGUGCCACCAGCCACAGAUACUGAUGGGACCGGCCCCUGCCUCAGGAGCCUGCUUCUCACAAUUUGGAAGUUUUGCAUCUGUGUGUUUCCUUGUCUAAUGCUGUUUCCCCCACAGACCAGAAUCUCCAACCAUGUUACAUUUCGGUUGGAUGUGUGUGUGAGCAGCACCAAAUAAAUGCUGCUUCCCUUUAAGGAAGAACUCACACUCUCUGCCCAGCAUCUGCUAGCUGGACGCCAGACGGCUUCUCCCACCUGGGUCAUUUCUUCUGCGUAGGCCUGAGAAGAAAACCCAAGUCCCCAGAUAUCCCAGUCCUGCUCCCUCCCCUGAACCUAGCUCGGGACCCUUCCAGGCCAACAGCACCUGCUUACACACCACUGUUCACAGGGAAGGUGGUGGGAACUGUGAAUCUGCAAACCCCAGCUAAGUCC